UGGAGGACGGGAGGAGGGGAGUAGGAGGGAGCGAGUGAAAAGGGCGAGAGGAAAUGAGGGGGAGCCCGGGGCGAGAACCGAGGGGAGAUUACGGAGGAGUAGGGGGUGGAGGGGGAGAGUGAGGGGGGGGGACAGGCUAAAGGCUGCAGAGGGGAGAGGAGGCGCUGAGGGCAGGAGGGGGGGAACUUCUGCUCCUGGGGACGAGAAGGCAGGGGCGGUCCCGCGAGAAAGGGAGCGCGAUGAGUACCUGCCCGCGACCCCGUUAAUACGUAGGGUGCACGCGUUAUCCAGAAUUAUUGGGGCUAACGAGCUCGUAGCCGGUUUGUCGCGUCUGCUGUGAAAACUGGAGGCUCAACCUCCAGCCUGCAGUGGGUACGGGCAAACUAGAGUGCGGUAGGGGAGAUUGGAAUUCCUGGUGUAGCGGUGGAAUGCGCAGAUAUCAGGAGGAACACCGAUGGCGAAGGCAGAUCUCUGGGCCGUAACUGACGCUGAGGAGCGAAAGCAUGGGGAGCGAACAGGAUUAGAUACCCUGGUAGUCCAUGCCGUAAACGUUGGGCGCUAGAUGUGGGGACCAUUCCACGGUUUCCGUGUCGCAGCUAACGCAUUAAGCGCCCCGCCUGGGGAGUACGGCCGCAAGGCUAAAACUCGAAGGAAUUGACGGGG
rnacentral:rRNA from 1 species